rnacentral:lncRNA from 1 species
AUGGGAUGUGGAAAUCAGGCCUCUCCUGGAACGCUCGCGGUCUAUCCACGUUGCCACAAAUGGCAAGAUUGUCAAGUAACAUCUCCUAAUUUAAGAGUUGAAGCUAUCAUAAAUAUCAGGAAACAUACCAGGAAGAUGACAGUUUGCAACCUCUCAUGUAGAAGUCGCCCGGUUACAAACUUCCCUGCUCUUACUCUACUCCUUGCGACCGCCCACAAAAGAGGGCACAGCAGCAGGGACUGCAGGUUCUCCAGAGGGGCUGACUGAUGGCGUAGGGUUCCCCAGCUGGUAAGUAGCCUCACUCAAGUGGAAGCCAGCUCUGCAUGACUGGGUCUUCUCUUCCUGGGUAUGCCACACCCUCCCUUGCAGUCUGGUCCCAAGUCCCCUCUUCUAUUGAGAAAUGGGGAGGGAGGGUGAAUGUUGUGUGGAUAGCCAUCAUUUUCUCUCGAGUUCUAACACUCUGGGGGCCUUCUCUAAUUCUAUUUGUAAUUCCACCAAGGAAUUCGGCAGGUUUGUAAGUUAAUCCUAGCUCACUCGUUUCAGAAAAUAGAUUUUUCGUUUUUCAUUCCCAAGCUGGUCGUCUGUUUUUUCAGAAGCUGCUGUCUUCCCCAUGUACAAAAUCCGAAAUGGCAAUCGGAGUCUUAAGAGAGAUGAAGGUGAAGAACAGACCAGAAAAGAAAUAGUUAUUUUAUUGGUCAGCUGGCCAAGGAGCAGGACAAAUAUCAGUUAUAAAUAACAAAGGCCUUUAACUCACCGAGUUACCUUUUCUCUUAUGAUCAAGAUAAAACUCAAGAUUGACGAUGUGCAGGGACGGGAUAAGUUUUAAUUUCCAGAAAGCCCCCUUUGGCAUCACACAAAUAACAGGUUCCCAGCUGGUUAUACUAUUUCUCUGGUUCUUACAAGUAUCAGCUGCAAUUAGGGAUUCUCAGAAAGCUCCAGAAAAGAUAACUCUGUACAGAGUAAAUUUCAUCAAGUGGAGGUUCUUUUCUUUUCUUUUUUCACAUUUUAUUUUUAAGUAAUCUCUGCACCCAAUAGGGGGCUCAAACUUAACCACCCUGAGAGCAAGGAUGCUCCACCAUCCAAGCCAGCUGGGUGCCUUACGUGGGAGCUUCUGGUCUGGUCUUGUAUUCUUGUAUUCUCCAGGUCGUCAAAACUUGAAGAGCUAACUGAUGUAACAGGAUAAUGACACUAGCUCAAAUGAUUUCUGUUUCCUCUUUACCUUGCUUUGCAAGGAGAAUUUUAUUUUUCUGUACUGUGUAAGCAAAGUUUGAGAAAUCUGGGAAGAUAGCCAAGAAAUGUAGUCCUCUGAAAAACAAACUGGGGGUAUAAGAAGAAUGACAUUAACUGACUUCUGUGGAAAUAACACAUUUAAAUGAUGAUGGGUAAGUAGGAAGCAUUGGACUAGUGCAACGUUUUUUAAAGUGAAUUGUAAAUAGAAACCUACAAGAGUUUCAUGACCAAAUAAUUUCUUCAAGUACUGGAUUGUGAUGUUGAAACACAUUCAUUUUUGUAGAGUUUCUCAGAACCUUUAAUGUAUUGAUGUACAUUGUGAACUUCGAGGAGAAGCUAUAGUAUGUAGUAUUUUCCAAGUGUGUUUUACUAUGGAAUCAUUUUUUAAAGAUUUUAUUCAUUUAUUUGAGAAAGAGAGAACACAAGGGGGAAGGGGACAGGAAGAUGGAGAAGCAGGCUCCCCAUGCGGGGCUCCGUCCCUGGACUCCAGGAUCAUGACCAAAGGCAGACACUUCACUGACUGAACCACCCAGGCACCCCUGGAAUCACAUUUUGGAGACAAAUCUACUUUGGCAAGCUCCAUACUGGAGUAUUUUCUUAAUUUCAAAAGGGAUUCUGAUUUUCUGCUUGUAUAUAUUUCCAUAAGUAAGUUUAUUUAUACAAAUAAAUAUUUGUACAAGUAAGUCUAUACAUAAGGUG